rnacentral:rRNA from 1 species
AUGGAGGAAUGCAAGACGAUGUCCAUCUGUACCGCAGUUGCGGCUCAAGGGACACAUGUGUUUGAUAUCAUGGGUUACAGCAAGCAUAGGGGCAUGGGCAACGACGAAGACAGCCACAUACUGUCUGGAAUUUUCACUGUAGGCGGGUACGACUGGGCCAUCCGCUUCUAUCCUGAUGGGCACGGCAGCGCAUGCCCUAAUCACAUCACAGUUUUUCUCGAGCUUUUGAGCAAUAGCGCAAAAGUCCGGGCGUCCUGCGACCUGAGGCUGGUGGACCAGUGCACCGGAUUAUCGUCUUCGGUGCAUAAAACAGGGCCUAGGAUUUUUAACUCUGACGAUGUCAGUAAGUUUGCUCCACAAUUUGCUGGUUUCAAAAGGCGAAGCGAGAUUGAGGAAUCUGCAUACCUUCGGUUUGAUCGCCUGACGAUCGAAUGUAUCAUCACUGUUUUCAAGAAGCCACAUGUUACUCAAGCCAAUCCGGUCCCCCAAAUCCCCAAAAUCGACAUGCCACCAUCUGACAUGGCCGAGAAUGUUGGCAGGCUGCUGGAAGAAAGAGAAGGGUUUGAUGUCCGUUUCAUUGUUGGAGGAGAGACCAUUGAAGCUCAUAGGUUUGUGCUCGCUAUGCGGUCGCCUGUUCUUAAAGCUGAGCUCUAUGGUCCGAUGAGGGAGGCGAGGCCGGGGCAGUGCAUUACCAUCAAGGACAUGCAGCCUGCCGUCUUCAGGGCCCUGCUCCAUUUUAUCUACACUGAUUCUUUGCCUGGCCGUGAGGAUCGUGAGGGAGAUGAUGAUACUGAGAUGGCCCGGCUUCUACUAGUGGCCGCGGACAGAUAUGCCAUGGAGAGGCUCAAGAUGAUUUGCCAAAGCAUUCUUUGCGAGAAUCUGAAUGCGGAAACCGUGUCAACCACAUUGGCUUUAGCUGACCAACAUAACUGCGUCAAGCUUAAGGAUGCUUGCCUUGAAUUUAUCAAAAUAUCAAAUGACAAUGUGAUGGAUGCCGUGGUGGCAACCCAAGGCUUCAAGGAUCUGAAUGUCACUUGCCCAUCUCUCAUAGCGGAAGCAUUGGAGAAGAGAAGGAAGUCUUGUCAGGCUUAA